rnacentral:misc_RNA from 1 species
UAACCACCUCCAUUAACGGCAGCAACACCACCACCCCCACCAGCAGUCACAGCCAAACGCGUCUACUCUCUGCUUCAAAAUCAAACCUCCAAACGAAAAACACAGUCAAGAAAACCAGAAAUGUCAGCCCUAAUCUACCAAUUAUUCUCCUCCUCAGCUCUCAUCUCUCUCGGUCUCUACCACCUCAUCUCCACCACCCGCAACUUCCUCAAAUCCCCUCAGUCUUUCUCCGCCAGACCCCACCACCCCCUCCCUUCCUCCUUCCCCCGUCUCAAACACCUCCAUCUCUUCCUCCUCAUCCUCUGCCUCCUCAUCGCCUUCACUCACCAAGCCCUAAUUUCCUCUGACUCCGAUCCUCUCCUCAAGGGCCGCACCCCUGUUCACCGCUUCACCUCCCUCCAAUCUGCCGCUCUUCUUUUCCUCUUUUUUAUUGUCUCUGUUGGUCUUCUUCUUUCUGAAUCUACUCCUCUUCUUCCUCUCCCUCCCGAUCUCU